CGGCCGAGUGGGUGGGACUGCAGAACUACGAUCUCCUCAGUCAUGAUCCCGCGUUCCGCGCCGCGGUCGGCCAC
rnacentral:tRNA from 1 species